UACAGAGGUCCCAAGCGUUGUUCGGAUUCACUGGGCGUAAAGGGUGCGUAGGCGGUCGGGUAAGUCUGAUGUGAAAUCUCACAGCUUAACUGUGAAACUGCAUUGGAUACUAUUCGGCUUGAGAGUUGGAGGGGGGACUGGAAUUCUUGGUGUAGCAGUGAAAUGCGUAGAGAUGUGGAGGAAUACCGAUGGCGAAGGCAGCCCCCUGGGUCAAGACUGACGCUCAUGCACGAAAGCGUGGGGAGCAAACAGG
rnacentral:rRNA from 1 species